ACGGAAGGCAGCAGUGGGGAAUAUUGGGCAAUGGGCGAAAGCCUGACCCAGCAACGCCGCGUGAAGGAAGAAGGUCUUCGGAUUGUAAACUUCUUUUAUGUGGGACGAACAAAUGACGGUACCACAUGAAUAAGCCACGGCUAACUACGUGCCAGCAGCCGCGGUAAUACGUAGGUGGCAAGCGUUAUCCGGAUUUACUGGGUGUAAAGGGCGCGUAGGCGGGGAAGCAAGUCAGAUGUGAAAUCCAUGGGCUCAACCCAUGAACUGCAUUUGAAACUGUUUCUCUUGAGUGCUGGAGAGGUAGAUGGAAUUCCUAGUGUAGCGGUGAAAUGCGUAGAUAUUAGGAAGAACACCAGUGGCGAAGGCGAUCUACUGGACAGUAACUGACGCUGAGGCGCGAAAGCGUGGGGAGCAAACAGGAUUAGAUACCCUGGUA
rnacentral:rRNA from 2 species